rnacentral:rRNA from 1 species
UACGAAGGGGGCUAGCGUUGCUCGGAAUCACUGGGCGUAAAGCGCACGUAGGCGGAUUGCUAAGUCAGGGGUGAAAUCCUGGAGCUCAACUCCAGAACUGCCUUUGAUACUGGCGAUCUCGAGUCCGGGAGAGGUGAGUGGAACUGCGAGUGUAGAGGUGAAAUUCGUGGAUAUUCGCAAGAACACCAGUGGCGAAGGCGGCUCACUGGCCCGGUACUGACGCUGAGGUGCGAAAGCGUGGGGAUCAAACAGG